AUGCUCACUUCAGCAGCACGUAUACUAAAAUUGGAACGAUACAGAGAAUAUUAGCAGGGCCCUUGCGCAGGAUGACAUGCAAAUUCGUGAAGCGUUCCAUAUUUUU